CCACCACCACCUGUCGGCCUCCCUCACUGCGCGCCAGACUCGCACCACCAGCCAGCCACCCCGCCAGCACCGCCACCUCCUUCUCCCUCCCCCACGCUGCACCCCUCCUCUUCCUCUUCCUCUCCUUCUCGCUGCACUCUUCCCCUCCCCCAUCUCGCUGCAGCCUCCUUGCUGCCGCGCCGCACCUGCCGCCAGCCGCGCCGCACCGCCGUCCUGCCGUCCGUCCCGCUGCUGCACCGCCACCUGCUCGCCGGAGCUCCGACCCCCACUGCACUGCCCGUCUUCUCCUUGUUACUUCACUUAGUGAAGAUUAGAAAGGAAAAGGGAUAUUACAAGCCUCACCCGGCUAUCAAGUAUAAUAAUCGCGACUCGAGGUACCGAUGGGGAUGACGCCAUGGCUUAGCAGUGAGGAAAUGUUAUUAGAAUAACUCAAACAAUUAAAGCUUUUGUAACUUAGUACUUACUUAGUUUAAUUAACAUUAACUCUGUUUUACUUUAAUAUAACCUAGUACGUUUAAGUUUCCAUGUUAUUAUAUGUUUAUGCAAGUAUGCUGCCUUGUAUUUUCCUAAUGGAAAGUACGGCAGUAACGCACCGACCAAAGGCUAGGACUUCCGCUGCUAAUAAUCAAGAUUAAUUAACCUAAUAAAGAUGCUUAGAGGUCGGGGCGUUACAUGCACAAUCUAACAAUGUUUUUUUAUUACAUCAAGUGCUUUGGUCUUGGUCAACCUAGUGUUAUUUUUAGUUCGCGAAUGAGCAUGAUUAUAUUAAUAUUUAUUAUUGAUUGAAAAAUCAAAUCUAGUGUCAAAUGACUAAAGUUUCAUAUUUGUUCACACAAUAGAGUUUUGCGAGGCCUAGUGUUAUUUUUAGUUCGCGGGUGAGCAUGAUUAUAUUAAUAUUUUAUUAUCGAUUGAAAACUCAAAUAUGGUGUCAAAUGGCUAAAGUUUCCUAUUAGACAUUAUUUAGGCGCCUGACUACAGGUUUGGGCACCUAAUAAAGGUGCCUGAGCAUUUUUUUUAAGUCAAUAUAGUCCAAUUUUGUGUAUUAAAAGAAUUAUAAAAUUUCAUUAAUAUUAAUAAUGCAAUAAUAUGGCCGGAAAAGUUACCGGAGUUAUUGUCGUCGGAAAGUUAGCCGGAAAAAUUCCCGAAGUUCUUGAUGGGAAAGUUAGCCGGAAUAAUUGCCGGAGUUAUUGUUGAUGAAAGAGAUGUAGGUAGGGAAAUACAACCCAUGUAUACAAAUACAAAAAUACAGGGCGUUAACUGAAAAUUCUAGGGCGACAUUUAACAAGAUCCUAUUAAAGUCGAUAUUAAAGAAUUGGGUUGGAAGGGUUCACUUAUUCCAAAUCUCAAGGGUUCUGGGACAGUCUUAAUGACAUAUACACGAUUUCAACUAUUAAGGGUGGCAAGGAGCUUCCCAGAUUUUGUUCCAUUUUAGCUCAUGGUUAAAGGAAGUAGGCAAACCUUGUUGCCAUUCCUCUCUAUAAAUCUUUUUUGAAUCGAAAAUUUUUCUUUUGGCUGCCCAACAGAUAAGAGUAGCUUCAUGGUCAGCUUGAAGGUUGUAUUUUGAAAUUCACAGGGAUAUAUUUGGGGGCAAGAGGCAUGGAUAACUCGUCAAGAUUCCAAACACCGUGUCUGUGGUUGAUGACACUAACCACUUUCCUACUAACUCGUCAUACUUAAAACUUAUGAUGUCUAUUUUGUUGACAAUUUUGUAUUUGUUCACACAUAUAUCUUAUCCAUUUAUAAAUAAUUGUAUAAUUUGCAUAAUGUUUACUAUUCACUACUUACACUUUGAUUGUCUUUGAUAAUUUAUAUUUUACGAACAACAUAGGCACAUAGCCUUGUGGGAUGUUAUUAAAUUCGUCUCAAUAUAUGUAUUUUUUUACACCAACUUCUUAUAAUUUUAACUUAUUAAUAAAGUUAUUAAUAUCUGAAGCCAUACAUCAGCAACAAUCCAUCUUGUGUGGACCCGGUUCACAUUAAAAAUAGUGUGGACCAGACCUAGACACGUGCCCCACUACAAACUAGUCACUCCCGCUUUCCAAAAUCCGUGCGAUUUUCUCUCUCUUCAAUAAGAUU